AUACAGCGAUGGCCCCCACACCUGGAAGGACUCAAGCUCUGAAUCCAGCACCUUCAGGAAGCAAGUGAUGGCAUCCCAGAGGCCCUAUGCUUGAGACAGACUGACGAAAACAGGUGGAUCUAGGUAAAAUCAGUCUCUGCUACCCUCCUCAUCUAAACCCUCAGUGCAGGGCCACCUUGGAAGCCAUGUGUUAACACUGAGUGAUCCUCCUCAGCCAAGUCCCUAAUGCAUGGAAAAGAACCUCCUGACCCAGUCCCCAAAGGCUGGACUUUUCCUUUGCAAGAAAUAAGGAGGUAUUGUAUUAAGCCACAGUGUUGUUCUAUUACAGAAGAUUAAGCAGUGCUUAAAUUAACAUAUACCUCCCCCAAAAAAAACAUGGUCAGGAGUCAGGUAACUCUUAUAAAGUAAUUAGCACCUAGUGUCACGGAAUGUGGAUUUCUGUCAAUGUGAGGCCAUGGGACCCUGGAACAAUGCUGCCACUUCCUAUGAAUCUAUUUCUUAAAUUGCAGGGUAAAGUUCACCAUAAAUAACAAAGUCAUGGAGUCAAGCUGUCACAAUUGGCCACCGUUCCUAA
rnacentral:lncRNA from 1 species